CCUACGGGAGGCUGCAGUCGAGAAUCAUUCACAAUGGGGGAAACCCUGAUGGUGCGACGCCGCGUGGGGGAAUGAAGGUCUUCGGAUUGUAAACCCCUGUCAUGUGGGAGCUAAUUAAAAAGUUAGUACCACAAGAGGAAGAGACGGCGAACUCUGUGCCAGCAGCCGCGGUAAUACAGCGGUCUCACCCGUUGAUCGGAACCACUGGGCGUAAAGCGGGCGUAGGCUGUUUCGUAAGUCGUGUGUGAAAGGCGCGGGCUCAACCCGCGGACGGCACAUGAUACUGCGAGACUAGAGUGAUGGAGGGGGAAGCGGAAUUCUCGGUGUAGCAGUGAAAUGCGUAGAUAUCG
rnacentral:rRNA from 1 species